UACGGGGGGGGCAAGCGUUGUUCGGAAUUACUGGGCGUAAAGGGCUCGUAGGCGGCCAACUAAGUCAGACGUGAAAUCCCUCGGCUUAACCGGGGAACUGCGUCUGAUACUGGAUGGCUCGAGUUUGGGAGAGGGAUGCGGAAUUCCAGGUGUAGCGGUGAAAUGCGUAGAGAUCCGGAGGAACACCGAAGGCGAAGGCAGUGUCCUGGCGAGUGACUGACGCUGAGGUGCGAAAGCCAGGGGAGCGAACGGG
rnacentral:rRNA from 1 species